rnacentral:rRNA from 1 species
UGGGGAAUAUUGCACAAUGGGCGCAAGCCUGAUGCAGCCAUGCCGCGUGUAUGAAGAAGGCCUUCGGGUUGUAAAGUACUUUCAGCGGGAAGGAAGGGAGUAAAGUUAAUACCUUUGCUCAUUGACGUUACCCGCAGAAGAAGCACCGGCUAACUCCGUGCCAGCAGCCGCGGUAAU